rnacentral:lncRNA from 1 species
CUCUUAUACUUUCUGCAUCUUGCUUCAUGUCCCCCGGAUUCAAGUUCACAAGCUCCUUGAAGGAGCUGCCCCCAAAGGCAGGAAGGUGUCCACCUUGAGCAAGUGGCAGCAGAAGAGUAGGGAAGUAAGGACCUCAGUCUAGGAGCGUGGAGAGGCUUCGCAGAGACAGGAGGAGUCCAGGGCGAGAACAUGUGCUGUUCGUCAGACAGACGCACAGGGGCUGCAACACAAAAGAAACAGACACCAGAAAACUCCGCCCUCAAGAAGUUCACGUCUAGAGUGGUCGACAGGUGUGCAACGGGGCUGCCGCGGGGAAUUCGGAAGGGAGAGUGUGCCUGAGGGAAUGAGGCCGAGUGUCACAGAGGAGAGGUGCUGCUGCUGGCACUGGAAACACCAGGGUGCUGUUUUCCAGGCUGGGUGGUUUUGGGAGGGGCAGUGGUGCGUGGCUGGAGCCUCAUCUGUGAUGACGGAAGUGAGGUAGUCAGGAGACG